ensembl:lncRNA
CUUGAGUGAGAAUGUGUAUCUGUUAUUUUGGUAUAUUUCAACAUUUGACAACCGCGGCACUCAAUUGACAAAGCUAGCCACCUGUGAAACGUCAUUGCAGCAGAGGCAUCACCACCCACCAACGUAGCCACGUUUUCUGCCUAGAAACACCAACGGCUAAUCGGAACAGCGAGACCGAAGAAUCCCGUGGGCUGUUACCAACGUGGGGUGAUUUUUUCAUGCCAAAAAUGGGAGGUGGACAGAGCCUAGAGGAGACUGGACAGCUGGACGACGUUAGACUCUCUGGUCACCGCAUCCAAGAAUCUAACACGGAUGCCCGUUCAGAUGCUGAAACCGCGCCUAACCCAGAUGAGCCUGCCACUGAGCUCCCCCAGUGCAGGAUGGGGGCAAAAAGCGUGGAUGACAUGUGCUUCAUGAUCUCAUGCACUAACUGGUACUAAGGGGCGAUGGGUGGCAAAGCAUUUAAAAACAGGCAUGCAAACCCAAAACUUUGCUUUGAUGCCGCAUGCUCGGGGGAUGUAAGAGUUGUUGAAGUGCUCACCUCAGCACUUCACGUUUUAGUCCAAUUUAGAUCGGGAAAAAAAAACACAAGUACAGCUAAGGGAAGUGGUCGUGCUGCAUGUGGGUUGCUCAGGUGCAGUGUUAAAUGCACUGCUAUUACAGGCCAGGCUUGUACCGGCUGCUACUCAGAAGUCCACCGCAUGCAAAAAUAAACCUUUUUGCUGUGGCUUGCACACUUUGCUGCCUGGGUUUCACCAGAGUUGGCAGAUAGUAGGCUUUGUUUAUCACGUAUGGUUAAAAAAAAAAGACUUGUCAGAUUUAAGAGGAAAGAAAUAAGCACCAGUAAUACUGUUUGAAAGUAUUGAUCAUUGAGGUGAGAAAGAUCCUGAGGGCACUGUGCACCGGAACAUCAUUCGGUGUGUCAUUUACCCAUGUUAGUUGGAUACUAACAUAUAACUAUGGUAGUGGCCAUUCUUUAUGAUCUGCCAUGCUAUUUGAGUUGCAUACUUUUGGCCUUUCACGGCAUUAUAGGAAUCAUAAAUCAUGAGAUUCCUUAUAAACAAUAAUUUUCUUCUUGAACAGUGUAAGAGUCAUUGCAAAGCUUUUUAAACCUUUUAUUGACAUUUCUUUGUUAAUAGAACAUGGUGAUAUUGUUAGAUAUACAGUGUGGAACUGUUGAUGAAAGUAAUAUAUAAAAAACAAUGUUUACUUUUAUGUAAUUAAAAGUGUUUCUUUUGUAAAUAAAGCUUAAAUAAUAUGGUGUGUAAAAACA